AGGGCUUUUCUUUCUAGAAGUUGCUGGUAGAGACCUGGAGUUGCUGCUCAGUUGGAUGAUAGCCUGCAUAAACUUCUCUCACACGCAGCAGAGCACAUCAGAUCUUAGCUGCAGGUUCUCAUUGUUAGUUUCCACUGAAGUGAUACAGCUUGUCCUGCAGACCCACUGUCCUCUUGAGAAAAGGGCCUGAGAUGCAGAAGGUGAAUUUCCAGCAGUUAAUUAGCAACCAGGGUGUAAAUAACCAGCAAGAGAAGUGCUCUGGAAGACAUGAGAGAUGGGUGUCAUCAAACAAAACCAGGAAAGAGGGAGAGGAAGGGCAGUGCUACGAAGGACAGGAAGGUGGAUGUUAAAAACAAGGAAAGCAUGAGAAGGAGAGAGACAUCAGACUGAAAUAGCACACGUGAGAAAACUCUCCCAGCAGCUUCAGGCUGUCCUGAAGUGGGAGAUGGGGGCAGGAGGAGGGGGGGGAGUGGGAAGCUGCCAAGAGACCCUGAGUGUAAUCCCAUCAGAACACAGUGAAAAAGGAUGGAAACGAGAACCUUGUGCCACAAAAAUUGGAAAGCUCAAGUUCUGCAUGGCAGAACUGGCAUAGAAAAGUGUUAAAGAGAGAGUUGGUGAGAGGCAUUGCUGCUCUUUAUCUCCUAUACCCACAGAUGCUCUGGGCCUGAAGUUUCUGUGCCUCGGAGGCUUUUCCUUUAUUGCUGACAGUGAGGAAUUUAGAAAACACAAAAGAUGCCCCUUCAGUGAAGCUUUGUUUUUUACCUUUUGACUGUAUUUUUAACUGUUUAAUUAAAAGGGGAAUCAGGUGAUGUAAAGAAUAAGUCACAUACUUGCCUUUGGUUUCUUAUCAGAAUCACCUAAUGAAGCUAUCACCUCAUCACCCAAAUUCUGCAUAGCUGGGCUCUGUCAUAGGGAGUUAUACUUCACAAAGCAGUAAAUAAAUUGCUUAUUCUGCAGGAUGAAAUUAAAAUG
rnacentral:lncRNA from 1 species